GGGUUGUGAGGUUAAGCGACUAAGCGUACACGGUGGAUGCCCUGGCAGUCAGAGGCGAUGAAGGACAGUGCUAAUCUGCGAAAAGCGUCGGUAAGGUGAUAUGAACCGUUACAGCCGGCGAUGUCCGAAUGGGGAAACCCAGUGUGAUUCGUCACACUAUCGUUAACUGAAUACAUAGGUUAACGAGGCGAACCGGGGGAACUGAAACAUCUAAGUACCCCGAGGAAAAGAAAUCAACCGAGAUUCCCCCAGUAGCGGCGAGCGAACGGGGAGCAGCCCAGAGUCUGAAUCAG
rnacentral:rRNA from 1 species